rnacentral:rRNA from 1 species
CCUACGGGAGACAGCAGUGAGGAAUAUUGGUCAAUGGACGAGCGUCUGAACCAGCCAAGUAGCGUGAAGGAAGACUGCCCUAUGGGUUGUAAACUUCUUUUAUAAAGGAAUAAAACGAGGCACGUGUGCCUUUUUGCAUGGACUUUAUGAAUAAGGAACGGCUUACUCCGUGCCAGCAGCCGCGGGAAUUCGGAGGAUCCGAGCCUUAUCCGGAUUUAUUGGGGUUAAAGGGAGUGUAGGUGGGAUGUUAAGUCAGUUGUGAAAGUUUGCGGCUCAACCGUAAAAUUGCAAUUGAGACUGGCAGUCUUGAGUACAGUUGAGGUAGGCGGAAUUCGUGGUGUAGCGGUGAAAUGCUUAGAUAUCACGAAGAACCCCGAUUGCGAAGGCAGCUUACUAACCUGUGACUGACAUUGAUGCUCGAAAGUGUGGGUAUCAAACAGGAUUAGAUACCCCUGUAGUC